UCCCCUGACUCCCAGACUUCUGGUUUCCUGC
rnacentral:piRNA from 1 species